AUGAACGCUGGCGGCGCGCCUAACACAUGCAAGUCGAACGAUUAAAGCACCUUCGGGUGUGUAUAAAGUGGCGAACGGCUGAGUAACACGUGGGCAACCUGCCCCUUUCAUUGGGAUAGCCACGGGAAACCGUGGAUAAUACCGAAUACUUCGAGACUUCCGCAUGGAAGACUCGAGAAAGCUCCGGCGGAGAGGGAUGGGCCCGCGGCCUGUUAGCUUGUUGGUGGGGUAACGGCCUACCAAGGCAAUGAUGGGUAGCUGGGUUGAGAGACCGACCAGCCAGAUUGGGACUGAGACACGGCCCAGACUCCUACGGGAGGCAGCAGUGGGGAAUCUUGCACAAUGGGCGGAAGCCUGAUGCAGCGACGCCGCGUGCGGGAUGAAGGCCUUCGGGUUGUAAACCGCUUUCAGCAGGGACGAGGCGAAAGUGACGGUACCUGCAGAAGAAGCCCCGGCUAACUACGUG
rnacentral:rRNA from 1 species